UAGGGAAUCUUCCACAAUGGGGGCAACCCUGACCGAGCAACGCCGCGUGAGUGAAGAAGGUCUUCGGAUCGUAAAGCUCUGUUGUAAGAGAAGAACGUGUGUGAGAGUGGAAAGUUCACACAGUGACGGUAACUUACCAGAAAGGGACGGCUAACUACGUGCCAG
rnacentral:rRNA from 1 species